rnacentral:rRNA from 1 species
UACGGGGGGGCAAGCGUUGUUCGGAAUCACUGGGCGUAAAGCGCACGUAGGCGGUCUCUAAGUCAGGGUGAAAUCCUGGAGCUCAACUCCAGAACUGCCUUGAUACUGGGAUCUCGAGUCCGGGAGAGGUGAGUGGAACUCCGAGUGUAGAGGUGAAAUUCGUAGAUAUUCGGAAGAACACCAGUGGCGAAGGCGGCUCACUGGCCCGGUACUGACGCUGAGGUGCGAAAGCGUGGGAGCAACAGGG